GACGAACGCUGGCGGCGUGCUUAACACAUGCAAGUCGAACGGAAAGGCCCUGCUUUUGUGGGGUGCUCGAGUGGCGAACGGGUGAGUAACACGUGAGUAACCUGCCCUUGACUUUGGGAUAACUUCAGGAAACUGGGGCUAAUACCGGAUAGGAGCUCCUGCUGCAUGGUGGGGGUUGGAAAGUUUCGGCGGUUGGGGAUGGACUCGCGGCUUAUCAGCUUGUUGGUGGGGUAGUGGCUUACCAAGGCUUUGACGGGUAGCCGGCCUGAGAGGGUGACCGGCCACAUUGGGACUGAGAUACGGCCCAGACUCCUACGGGAGGCAGCAGGGGGGAAUAAUGCACAAUGGGCGGAAGCCUGAUGCAGCAACGCCGCGUGCGGGAUGACGGCCUUCGGGUUGUAAACCGCUUUCGCCUGUGACGAAGCGUGAGUGACGGUAAUGGGUAAAGAAGCACCGGCUAACUACGUG
rnacentral:rRNA from 1 species